rnacentral:sRNA from 1 species
GUGCUUGAGCUGUUGCUGGGCUCGUCGCAGCCUCCUCGAGGAAGAGGCAUUUUGUCCGGGUCGGGCCACUCGCUAGGUCAGAAACAACGGCCCCCCGAGGGUUUUGUACCGUUUUCUAGGUCUCGUGAUGCAUUCCCCACAACUAUUUUUACUUGAGGUAGGUUUGAACCUGUGAAAUAGGUUCUUUUUCUAUCUCUCCUUGACAGAGAAACGGAGACCUAAGAAGUGACUUGCUCAGGGUCACAUAGCUCAGCAGUGGCGGCCGCUAAUCGGAAAUAGCUCUCCUGUUGUGGUAUCCUCUGCGUUUUCCACUCCAGUAUUUCUUCCCUAGAAAAUGGGAUCCUUGUUUUCAUCUUAUAUCUCAUGCAGCGCCUAACAUAGUCACCUGCACCUGGAAUGGAUAAAAGUGGCAGUUUUUGUUUCUUCCCAUGAGGUUGUGUAUCUGGAAUAAGAACCAGGAAAUUAAUCUAGACUAAGACAUUUCUAAGGACCUGGAAUGGCUUUGGGGAGCACCAGGAGGACCUGAAAAGAGUAU